rnacentral:rRNA from 1 species
UACGUAGGGUGCGAGCGUUAAUCGGAAUUACUGGGCGUAAAGCGUGCGCAGGCGGUUUUGCAAGCCGGAUGUGAAAUCCCCGGGCUCAACCUGGGAAUGGCAUUCGGGACUGCAAGGCUGGAGUGCGGCAGAGGAGACUGGAAUUCCUGGUGUAGCAGUGAAAUGCGUAGAUAUCAGGAGGAAUACCGAUGGCGAAGGCAGGUCUCUGGGCUGACACUGACGCUCAUGCACGGAAGCGUGGGGAGCAAACAGG